GUGGGGAAUUUUUGGCAAUGGGGGAAACCCUGACCAAGCAACGCCGCGUGGAUGAUGAAGUCUCUUGGGACGUAAAAUCCUUUCGACGGGGACGAAAGCCGCAAGGUUUGACGGUACCCGUAGAAGAAGCCCCGGCUAACUCCGUGCCAGCAGCCGCGGUAAUACGGGGGGGGCAAGCGUUGUUCGGAAUUACUGGGCGUAAAGGGCGCGUAGGCGGUUUGUUAAGUUGGUUGUGAAAACUCUGGGCUUAACCCAGAGCCUGCAUCCAAAACUAGCAAGCUAGAGUUCUGGAGGGGAUAGCGGAAUUCCUGGUGUAGCGGUGAAAUGCGUAGAUAUCAGGAGGAACACCGGUGGCGAAGGCGGCUAUCUGGACAGAAACUGACGCUGAGGCGCGAAAGCUAGGGGAGCAAACAGGAUUAGAUACCCGGGUAGUCC
rnacentral:rRNA from 1 species